UGGGUAACCUGCCUCAAAGAGGGGAAUAGCCUCCCGAAAGGGAGAUUAAUACCGCAUAAUAUGUUUAAGUCGCAUGACUUUAACAUCAAAGGAUUUUCUUUAGAAAUUCCACUUUGAGAUGGACCCGCGGCGCAUUAGCUAGUUGGUGAGGUAACGGCUCACCAAGGCAACGAUGCGUAGCCGACCUGAGAGGGUGAUCGGCCANAUUGGAACUGAGCACGGUCCAGACUCCUAGGGACGG
rnacentral:rRNA from 1 species